AUAUCCUAUACCUAUUCCGCACCCUCCCCAUUACAAUCCCAAACCCAAUCUUAAAGAACUUUCAGGCCAUGAUAAAUGCUCAUAUCUGGAAACGGAAACCCCCCAGGAUAGCGCAAAAAUCACUCUGACGCCCGUUUACAAAAGGGGGGCUAGGUGUUCCCAAUAUAUCCCUUUAUUACAAGGCGUCAUUGUUGGCCCAGGGCCUCACGAUCCUUGAACAUCC